GAGGAGUGGCAGGUGUGGGCUUGGGGGAUGGGCUGGGACUCAUUCUCAUUCUCAUUCAAGUGCUUGGAGUUGGGGAAAAGAGUUCUGGAUUCUGAACCACUCUCUGAGCUACAGGAAGGUCUGAUUUGGCCAAGCAGCAGGGACACAGGGCCUCUCAGAUGCUUUGGGUGUCCCAGUUGCCAUCUGUGUGGUCUGCUUCUGUUCUGACACUCUUUCCUCAGCUUUCCAUGCUAGCAAGAAGCCACAGAACUCCUUCAUUAGAGCUGUUUGAAAGCCUGCAGGAGCUUCAUUCUGUCUGCAAACCAGUGGCUCCUCAUGGGGGAAGACUUAAAAGUAGCCCAUGGUUCAUCAGAGGCCUGAAGGCCGUUCUUAAGCCCACCCUCCUCCGUCGCCCGUUCCUGCUGCUGUCCUGGGAAAUAAGAAAGCAGCAUUCCCCCACCCCCAAACUCAAC
rnacentral:lncRNA from 1 species